rnacentral:rRNA from 1 species
AGAGUUUGAUCCUGGCUCAUGAUGAACGCUAGCUACAGGCUUAACACAUGCAAGUCCAGGGGCAGCAUGGUCUUAGCUUGCUAAGGCCGAUGGCGACCGGCGCACGGGUGAGUAACCCGUAUCCAACCUGCCGUCUACUCUUGGACAGCCUUCUGAAAGGAAGAUUAAUACAAGAUGGCAUCAUGAGUCCGCAUGUUCACAUGAUUAAAGGUAUUCCGGUAGACGAUGGGGAUGCGUUCCAUUAGAUAGUAGGCGGGGUAACGGCCCACCUAGUCUUCGAUGGAUAGGGGUUCUGAGAGGAAGGUCCCCCACAUUGGAACUGAGACACGGUCCAAACUCCUACGGGAGGCAGCAGUGAGGAAUAUUGGUCAAUGGGCGAGAGCCUGAACCAGCCAAGUAGCGUGAAGGAUGACUGCCCUAUGGGUUGUAAACUUCUUUUAUAAAGGAAUAAAGUCGGGUAUGGAUACCCGUUUGCAUGUACUUUAUGAAUAAGGAUCGGCUAACUCCGUGCCAGCAGCCGCGGUAAUACGGAGGAUCCGAGCGUUAUCCGGAUUUAUUGGGUUUAAAGGGAGCGUAGAUGGAUGUUUAAGUCAGUUGUGAAAGUUUGCGGCUCAACCGUAAAAUUGCAGUUGAUACUGGAUAUCUUGAGUGCAGUUGAGGCAGGCGGAAUUCGUGGUGUAGCGGUGAAAUGCUUAGAUAUCACGAAGAACUCCGAUUGCGAAGGCAGCCUGCUAACCUGCAACUGACAUUGAGGCUCGAAAGUGUGGGUAUCAAACAGGAUUAGAUACCCUGGUAGUCCACACGGUAAACGAUGAAUACUCGCUGUUUGCGAUAUACUGCAAGCGGCCAAGCGAAAGCGUUAAGUAUUCCACCUGGGGAGUACGCCGGCAACGGUGAAACUCAAAGGAAUUGACGGGGGCCCGCACAAGCGGAGGAACAUGUGGUUUAAUUCGAUGAUACGCGAGGAACCUUACCCGGGCUUAAAUUGCAGAUGAAUUACGGUGAAAGCCGUAAGCCGCAAGGCAUCUGUGAAGGUGCUGCAUGGUUGUCGUCAGCUCGUGCCGUGAGGUGUCGGCUUAAGUGCCAUAACGAGCGCAACCCUUGUUGUCAGUUACUAACAGGUUCUGCUGAGGACUCUGACAAGACUGCCAUCGUAAGAUGUGAGGAAGGUGGGGAUGACGUCAAAUCAGCACGGCCCUUACGUCCGGGGCUACACACGUGUUACAAUGGGGGGUACAGAGGGCCGCUACCACGCGAGUGGAUGCCAAUCCCAAAAACCUCUCUCAGUUCGGACUGGAGUCUGCAACCCGACUCCACGAAGCUGGAUUCGCUAGUAAUCGCGCAUCAGCCACGGCGCGGUGAAUACGUUCCCGGGCCUUGUACACACCGCCCGUCAAGCCAUGGGAGCCGGGGGUACCUGAAGUGCGUAACCGCGAGGAGCGCCCUAGGGUAAAACUGGUGACUGGGGCUAAGUCGUAACAAGGUAACCG